GACGAACGCUGGCGGCGUGCUUAACACAUGCAAGUCGAACGGAAAGGCCCUGCUUUUGUGGGGUGCUCGAGUGGCGAACGGGUGAGUAACACGUGAGUAACCUGCCCUUGACUUUGGGAUAACUUCAGGAAACUGGGGCUAAUACCGGAUAGGAGCUCCUGCUGCAUGGUGGGGGUUGGAAAGUUUCGGCGGUUGGGGAUGGACUCGCGGCUUAUCAGCUUGUUGGUGGGGUAGUGGCUUACCAAGGCUUUGACGGGUAGCCGGCCUGAGAGGGUGACCGGCCACAUUGGGACUGAGAUACGGCCCAGACUCCUACGGGAGGCAGCAGUGGGGAAUAUUGCACAAUGGGCGGAAGCCUGAUGCAGCAACGCCGCGUGCGGGAUGACGGCCUUCGGGUUGUAAACCGCUUUCGCCUGUGACGAAGCGUGAGUGACGGUAAUGGGUAAAGAAGCACCGGCUAACUACGUGCCAGCAGCCGCGGUGAUACGUAGGGUGCGAGCGUUGUCCGGAUUUAUUGGGCGUAAAGGGCUCGUAGGUGGUUGAUCGCGUCGGAAGUGUAAUCUUGGGGCUUAACCCUGAGCGUGCUUUCGAUACGGGUUGACUUGAGGAAGGUAGGGGAGAAUGGAAUUCCUGGUGGAGCGGUGGAAUGCGCAGAUAUCAGGAGGAACACCAGUGGCGAAGGCGGUUCUCUGGGCCUUUCCUGACGCUGAGGAGCGAAAGCGUGGGGAGCGAACAGGCUUAGAUACCCUGGUAGUCCACGCUGUAAACGGUGGGUACUAGGUGUGGGGUCCAUUCCACGGGUUCCGUGCCGUAGCUAACGCUUUAAGUACCCCGCCUGGGGAGUACGGCCGCAAGGCUAAAACUCAAAGGAAUUGACGGGGCCCCGCACAAGCGGCGGAGCAUGCGGAUUAAUUCGAUGCAACGCGUAGAACCUUACCUGGGUUUGACAUGGAUCGGGAGUGCUCAGAGAUGGGUGUGCCUCUUUUGGGGUCGGUUCACAGGUGGUGCAUGGCUGUCGUCAGCUCGUGUCGUGAGAUGUUGGGUUAAGUCCCGCAACGAGCGCAACCCUUGUUCACUGUUGCCAGCACGUUAUGGUGGGGACUCAGUGGAGACCGCCGGGGUCAACUCGGAGGAAGGUGGGGAUGACGUCAAGUCAUCAUGCCCCUUAUGUCCAGGGCUUCACGCAUGCUACAAUGGCUGGUACAGAGAGUGGCGAGCCUGUGAGGGUGAGCGAAUCUCGGAAAGCCGGUCUCAGUUCGGAUUGGGGUCUGCAACUCGACUUCAUGAAGUCGGAGUCGCUAGUAAUCGCAGAUCAGCAACGCUGCGGUGAAUACGUUCCCGGGGCU
rnacentral:rRNA from 1 species